ensembl:lncRNA
GAUACUGUCACCAUCUCUUUCUCGAUAACCUUCAGUAGCACAAAGAGCUAUGCAUUACUUUCAUUUUUGUUGCUGAAAAAGGGUAAUUUUAGAGCACUGAUCAAUAGCCCACUUAGUUUUUAAGUGGUUUUAUAACCUGUACCCACUGUUGCCUUCAUUUACAACCAUACUAGUACAGCUCAGGGAAAAAGGAAGACGAAAAUACUUCAAAGGGCUUUCAACAAAGAAAAGUAAAAAAUGUUGGUUCUAACUGUCUUUAGUCAUGGUGUAUUUUUUGGCACACAGAUGGGAUUUUUUCUACUCUACACAUCUGUAAAAUAGCAUUAACUUUCCAGAAGUUAACAAAGUAGGUCUGUAUUGUUUUAAAUCUUUUGUAAUGUAGUUCACAUAAGUAGUCAUUAGAAAUCAGCAAGAUUUUUGGUUUUAAGGUAUAUCUUACCUUAAAACAUCAGUUUUUUUCAGCAUGCAUUUGAACUUCCUCACGACAUGUACUACGCAUUUGAAGGUUAGGAAAUGACUAACCAAAGUGAUAUUUCUUUUUAAGGCACUGUUGACAUUUCAGAAUGACUAUAGAGCACAGGAAGAAAACAUCAGGAGUUGCACAGGGUGAAAGGGCCUCACCACUCAUACAAGAACAAUCUUUCCUAUGCUAAUAAAGUACGCAGCUUUACACAAGUGGGACACCAGAAAUAUAAACAAAUAUAUAUACAAAAUAUUGUUAUUAUUAUUAUUAUUAUAUUAUAUAAUAAUACAUGCGUUCUGCAUUUGAUUGAAAGUUUUUGAGGUUUUCUUCUUCAUGUAACCUGAAUCAAGUCUUCAGUAGAACUGCACUUCUGAAUCACUUGUUUUACAGAUCACUCUUUCCUAUGUUUAGUCAAGGAGCUCAACGCACUCUGCAAUUAUUUAAUAAAGGUCUAGAAAUUAACUGGAAGGAUGGUGAGGCUUAUCUACACUCUUACAAGGCAGAAAACUUAAUCCAGAGAUUUUACUGUGACUCGAGUCAAGGACUCACUGAGAACUUGACUCUGAGCUCAGUCUUUUCUGAGCAAGCAAUUUUGUUAUUAUUAUCUUAUCAAAUGCUAUAAUCACCAAAGCUUCUUCAAAAGGAAGAAACAAUCUCUAUUCUCAACAAUGUGUUUUUCC